rnacentral:rRNA from 1 species
AUUAAGUUGAGUUUGGUGAUGGCUCUGAUUGAAUGCUGUCCAAGUGCUUUGACACAUGCUAAUCGAACGUUUUAAUUAACUUAUUAAUUAAAAAGUGGUGUACAGGUGAGUAUAUGAAUAUUUUUGCCGACCUUAAAGAGAAGGUAAAUCCUUCAUAAUAUAAAAGAGAUAUCAUAAAGAAUAUGCACAAAAAAUAGAAAUUGAAAUUAUCAAAUUUCUAUAGUGUAUAGUCUCGCUUUAAGAGGAUGAUAAAUAUUUUCGAGAUAGGUAGUAGUUAAGGUGAUGACUUAACUAGCUUUAAACUCUCGUAGUCGAAGCUGAAAGGUUGAUCGACCACAUUGGGUCUGAAAAAACCCCAAUGCAUAUUAGUACAGCAGUGAGGAAUUUUGGUCAAUGGCCUAACGGCUGAACUGGCAACUUGGAAAAGUGAUAAGUCCAAAAUAGGAUUGAAUUCAAAAGAAUGAAGCUUUGUUUAUAUAUUGAUAAUGACAAUAUAUAUAUUUUGUCUUGACCAAUUACGUGCCAGCAGUCGCGGUAAUACGUAAGAGACUAGUGUUAUUCAUCAUAAUUAGGUUUAAAGGGUACCUAGACGGUCAAAAUAGCAUGUUAAAUGUAACUACUUGACUAGAGUUUUAUGGAAGAGGGCAGAACUUGCGGAGGAGAGAUAAAAUUUCGUGAUACCAAAAGGACUGGUAAAGGUGAAGACAGCCCUUUAUUUAAAAACUGACGUUGAGGGACGAAGGCAUAGGUAACAAAAAGGAUUAGAUACCCCAGUAGUCUUUGCAGUAAAUUAUGAAUGCCAUAGGUCAGAAGGUAAUAUUAGGAAUUUCUUAAUAUUAAUUUAUUUUUGGUCUAUAAAUGAAAGUGUAAGCAUUCCACCUCAAGAGUAAUGUGGCAACGCAGGAACUGAAAUCACUAGACCGUUUCUGACCCCAGUAGUGAAGUAUGUUGUUUAAUUCGAUGAUCCACGAAAAACCUUACCGCGGUUUGUAUAUUAUUCAUUUAAUACAGGAGUUGCACGGCUGUUUUCAGUUAAUGUUGUGAAACUGUGGUUUCCAUGGAAUUAACGUAAUCCCUGACUUUAUUUUUUGGAUAUACGAUAAAGUAUUUGCUCCCAAAUAUUAGGAACAAAAAAGGGGACAAAGACAAGUCAUCAUGGCCUUAAUACCGCGGGCUAUAGACGUGCCACAUUUUCCUAGACAAAGAGAUGCAAAAAUGUGAAUUUGAGCUAAUCUCAAAAAAUAGGAUAUAAUUUUGUAAGGAUUGUAGUCUGAAAUUCGACUAUAUGAAUAAGUAAUUACUAGUAAUCGUGAAUCACCAUGUCACGGUGAAUUUUCUUUGGAUUGGUACUAACCACUCGUCACAUGCUGAAAGGGGCAUGCGCAAUAAGUUUGCUUUUUCAGUACUAAGCACUUAAAUAAAUAGAUUUAUUCUUAUAUUGGAAAUCUUCGUAUGCGUGGCUCUAAUUAGUGUUAAGUCGAAAUACGGUUCGUGUAGUGGAAGUUGCACGGGAUUUAUUAACUUU